CUCUCUGACUUCCGGUUAUCAGUUGCGAGCUCUCCAAAGUCAGGUUCCUGCCAAGACGUGAUGCAACCAGGAGAACUCGCGACAAAGCUGGUGGCAGUGCUCUACCCUUAGCCCUCCAGUGCCGUGGGCUACCGGACUUUCUCUUAUUAAUAAAGUUAGCCCUCCCCGGGCGUUUAGUUGUAGUAGUACAAGACGGAUAAUACAGCCUGCCUGGAUGAAAGAGCGGACAGAACCAAGCUUGCCUGUAACAGAAGGCAGGAACCACCUCUAAACAUCAGAGGAACAACACGCCUUCUGGAAAAUCUUCAGCAGCACAGAUGUCCUCUUUACCCGUGUACCCCAGCAGGUAUUUCAGUUGGGCCAUGGUCACGAUGAAGAGGCAUCCAGCAAAGCCCUGCCUCUCUCAGCGCUGGGCCCACUUCUGCAUCAGGACCGCUCACUGCUCAUUGGUCCAGUGGAGCUUGCCAUCUUCUUGCAGUUGCACAGCCCCGCUGGCCACCAGCUGGAGGGCGGCAGGAAAGAUCUUAUGUUCUGCUACUUUGACCCGUUCAGACAGCGUUGCCACAGUGUCACCCCUGUGCACAGGGACAGCUUCCUGCAGGAUGAUUUGUCCUGCGUCUACAUCUUCCUGAAAAAAGAAGCAAACGUUUUCAACCUUUCCAGCCAGUGUAGAUGGCAGCCAGACGCCAGGGGCAAAAGCUUGGUAGGAACAGACAUACUCACAGCGACAAAGUGUACGGUACACCCAGUAAUUGUGACUCCAGCUUCCAGGACUUGCUCGUGGGCAUUUGAACCCUUAAAUGAAGGGAGCAAGGAGGGGUGGAUGUUGAGCAUUUUCCCUAGAAAGCAAGAGGGUGGAGUCAGAAACCUUAGGUCCCGUUUACUCUGCUCAAGGAACAAGAGAUAACUACAUCUAUCUUAGGAAAUGAACUCUGGUGGGAAGGUGCCACUCAUGUGCAGACCAAUGACCAAACUAGGCUGCAGUCAGAGGUCUUAGGAAGAGAACAGGGCUGGCAAGAUGGCUGACAGGGGUACAGGCCACCAUGCUUGAUGAUUGCGUUCAAUCCCUAGGGGACACACAGUGGGAGGAGGCACCUAACCCUACAGUGUCCUCUCACUGCCACAGCAUACUGAGGUGACCCACUGCUCCCUGCUUAGUAAAUAAAGAGCAAGGGGAAAGGAAACAAGAGACCGUAGAUACUGCACAGUUUUAAUGACAAUGCCAUGCUUGUCAUCUUGUGUAUUAUACAGGAGGGCUUGGGUCUCAAGUCUUUCUGUGGUACCAGGACCCGGCCCAUGCUAGGUAGGUAAGUGCCCUCCUGCAGAACCAGCCCCGGCUACUGCUGUUCUCUAUUCUGCAAGAGCAACAAGUGCUCUUGACCACAAAAUGACUUGGUUUUUGCGACAGGGUCUUGGCCUUAAACUGAUUAUAUUAAGGCUGAUCUCUGCCCAGCUCUCCCUUCAUCUUGGGAUCUUCCUUCUUUUUUUCUCCCGUUCCUUCACUCUGAGUUUGAGAGAGUAUGUCCUAAAUGAGCACACUGGCCUGCCUCAGCUUCAGGAUGCUGGGGCUAAAGGUGUGCGCUGAGUCUCACUUUUCGCAGACUUCCAAUUCUACUGACAGGAAAAUGUGUCUUGCAGUAAGAGACAGGGAUUAGUGACAGCCAGACCAGCUGAGUGACCACCUGGGCACUUUCUACCGUGUUGACCCCGUGACUGGGAGAAGUGCUGGCUUACCGUCCCAUUUUCUGACAAAGGGCCCGGAGAGGAUCCUCAUGAACCCUGCAAGACAGACGAUGUCUACAGAGAACUCUUCCAGGACGCGGUCAACUGCAUUGUCAAACUCAGCACGAUUUUUAUAUAGUUUGUGAUUAAUUACCUGGAACAGGGAAAGGUAAGCAGCUGAUUCUCAGAGGAUCAGCGGUGAUUUAAACCCAACCUCGCAGAGACUUCACUUCAGCCGUAAAGCUGCACCCACUAGAGGGUGGCUGAGGAACGAGCAGGAUGCAGCAGGAAAGCAAACCCAGCACCCACCCCAAACUGGGAAGCCCCACAAUUACACAAGCAUCCGCAGCCUUGUGAGAGCAGAGUGUGAGUUUCAGUAUAGCUCGCAAGGGCUGGAGGUGUGGGCACAGUGGUACAUCUGCGGCUCCAGGCUAAGCUUGGCACUAAGCAAGCCAAGCACCCGCCCACCACGCCCGGCCUGCAGGAAGGCCUCUUCUGUAGUCACUCACCCUGGUGGGAAUACCGGCUCGCUCUGCUCGGUCUAAGCCAGCUACGGCAGCUUUGUUGGAGAUGACGAGAACAAUGUGUGAGGAGCUCUUGGGAUCCCGGGUGCUGUCUAUGAGCGCCUGGAGGUUCGACCCUGAAAAAGCAGGAAAGCAAGUGAGCGGACACUUCUGAGAGCUCGGUCCUUUGUUUUAUCAUGACCUUGGGCCUAAAAGAUGUUGAAACUGUAAGAGCACCCUGCAGGCAGCCACAGCACUGGGCCAUCGUCUGAAGACGAUGCCUCCGACAACACAUUGUUCAGGGCAGUGCUAUCGUGGGAAAACAAAGCUGGGUGUGGUGGCCCCCACUAAAUCCCCGCACUAGGAAGGCCGCGGCCAGGCCAGCCCAGGUUACGUGGUGAUUCUGAAAGCCAACAGCAAAGUCACUGCGGUGACCAAUAGAAUCAAAUGUUCUCCUACCCAGGUCUUACUUUUAAUAAAAGACAAUUUUAG
ensembl:processed_transcript